UACUUGGUAGUCCAGGGGUUAGGACUUGGUGCUGUCACUGCCACGGGCCUGGGUUCAAUCCCUGGUCAGGGAA
rfam:TPA: Bos taurus chromosome 6, whole genome shotgun sequence.